AUUGAACGCUGGCGGCCGGCCUAACACAUGCAAGUCGAGCGAGCGGCGGACGGGUGAGUAAUGUCUGGGAAACUGCCUGACGGCGGGGGAUAACUACUGGAAACGGUAGCUAAUACCGCAUACCAUCAGAUGUGCCCAGAUUGGUUUAGCUAGUAGGUGGGGUAAUGGCUCACCUAGUCGACGAUCCCUAGCUGGUCUGAGAGGAUGACCAGCCACACUGGAACUGAGACACGUUCCAGACUCCUACGGGAGGCAGCAGUGGGGAAUAUUGCACAAUGGGCGCGAGCCUGAUGCAGCCAUGCCGCGUGUGUGAAGAAGGCCUGCGGGUUGUAAAGCACUUUCAGCGAGGAGGCGUUACUCGCAGAAGAAGCACCGGCUAACUCCGUGCCAGCAGCCGCGGUAAUAC
rnacentral:rRNA from 1 species